rnacentral:rRNA from 1 species
AUGCACGCUGGCGGCGUGCCUAAUACAUGCAAGUCGAACGCUGGAGAUCUAGCUUGCUAGAUCGAAGGAGUGGCGAACGGGUGAGUAAUACAUAAGCAACCUACCCACGAAGACUGGGAUAAUCUCUGGAAACGGGGACUAAUACCGGAUAGGUAAUCGGAAGGCAUCUUCUGGUUAUUAAAGGUUAAAAACACUGGUGGAUGGGCUUAUGGCGCAUUAGUUAGUUGGUGAGGUAACGGCCCACCAAGACGAUGAUGCGUAGCCGGCCUGAGAGGGUGAACGGCCACAUUGGGACUGAGACACGGCCCAGACUCCUACGGGAGGCAGCAGUAGGGAAUUUUCGGCAAUGGGGGCAACCCUGACCGAGCAACGCCGCGUGAGUGAAGACGGCCUUCGGGUUGUAAAGCUCUGCUGUAAGGGAAGAACGGUAGAUAGAGAAUAUCUAAGUGACGGUACCUUACCAGAAAGCCACGGCUAACUACGUG